UACACCGGGAAUGGCGGAAAGUGGGAAGAAGAGCUUGGCACCACUGACGGCAGGACCACGGUGAAGCCCUUCGUGGAGCCACCUCCGCCCCUUGCAGGCAGAGGGAUCUGAGCGGCUCCAAGCGCUUCGUUUAAAUCCAGCGGGAUUGGGAAGAGUCACCCCGACCCCUCCGGGAUAAGGACGAGGAGAACAAACACCGAGAAACUGGAAAAAAAGAUGUGGGAAAACUGGAAUUAUGGACAUCGUGGGAUGAGGAGAGGGAAACCUCUGGAUACACAGGAAAAGGAGGGUGGGAAGGGCAGAAUUCCUGAGCCAAACCACGUGGCACGGAAUUCCCGAGUUUUAUUUCGGUAAAAUAAAAGUGUCUCAAUGCUGUGGAA